rnacentral:rRNA from 1 species
UCGGAUUGUAGUCUGCAACCCGACUACAUGAAGCUGGAAUCGCUAGUAAUCGCGAAUCAGAAUGUCGCGGUGAAUACGUUCCCGGGUCUUGUACACACCGCCCGUCACACCAUGGGAGUCGGAAAUGCCCGAAGUCAGUGACCUAACCGAAAGGGAGGAGCUGCCGAAGGUGGAGCCGGUAACUGGGGUGAAGUCGUAACAAGGUAUC